rnacentral:rRNA from 1 species
ACGAACGCUGGCGGCAUGGAUUAGGCAUGCAAGUCGAACGAAUUAACGGUAGCAAUAUCGUUAGUUAGUGGCGCAAGGGUGAGGAACAUGUGAGUAACUUGCCCCCAAGUUGGGGAUAACUCCGGGAAACUGGAGCUAAUACCGAAUGUGACUAUGUUACCGCAUGGCAGCAUAGUUAAAGAUUUAUUGCUUGGGGAUGGGCUCGCGUCCCAUUAGCUAGUUGGUGAGGUAAUGGCUCACCAAGGCAGAGAUGGGUAGCUGGUCUGAGAGGAUGGUCAGCCACACUGGGACUGAGACACUGCCCAGACUCCUACGGGAGGCUGCAGUCGAGAAUCUUCCACAAUGCGCGAAAGCGUGAUGGAGCGAUGCCGCGUGCCGGAUGAAGGCCUUCGGGUUGUAAACGGCUGUCACCAGGGACGAAUAAAUUGACGGUACCUGGAGAGGAAGCCACGGCUAACUACGU